AUUGACAUAAUGAACAGGUAGAAGCUUUUAAAUCAUAGUUCAUUCUCAACUCAUAAAUUUUUUCACCUCGAAUCACAACUGUUAAUGUAAGUAGGAAAUGUAUUUUCUCCCAAGGCAAAGCAAACUCCAGAGGCUGAUCCUUUUCUUCCUCCUCUCUCUCCUCAACCACCCUCCCGAUAUUUUCCCCUUUUCUCCCUUCCUUUUACUUCUUCCCAUCCCCCUCCUCUACUUUUAUUUCUCCUCCUCCUCCUAUUUGUUGAAGAGGAUUGUGCUUGUCUUUUCUGCUAGAAUUUAAACUCCUUGAGGGUAAGAGUUAUGACUUAUUCCAGAAUAAGACCAUAGGCUCUCACACAGUAGAUCAUCAUCAAAAGUAUCAAUUACUUGGAAGUUCCCAUCGUGGCCUGUCGUGGUGCAGUGGAAAUGAAUCCAACUAGGAACCAUGAGGUUGCAGGUUUUAUCCCAGGCCUCGCUCAAUGGGUUAAGGAUCUGGCUUUGUUGUGAGCUGUGGUGUAGAUAUCGCAGAUGCGGCUCAGAUCCUAUGUUGCUAUGGCUGUGGUACAGGCCGAUGGCUAUAGCUCUGAUUAGACCUCUAGCCUGGGAACCUCCAUAUGCUGUGGGUGCUGCCCUAAAAAGACAAAAAAAAAAAAAAUAGUGCAUUGACUUGAAAAGGAGCCUCCAGAUACACAUUCCUUAGUGCUUACUUAUGUGCAUGUGUGUGUGUAUGUAUGUGUGCUUAUGUGAUAUAAAUGCAACAAUAGCUAGUAUUAUUAGGGAAGUUAUAUGUGCCUAUUUCAUUUAAAUAUUACAAAACUCAAUGAGAUACAAACGAUUAUUGUCUGCGUUUUACAGAUGAGAAAUCUGAGGCUCAGAGUUUAAGUAGUUUGGUUAAUUUUAAUAUAAUCAUGAAACUCUACUAGGAAGAGUUACGUGAAGUCAAUGCAAUGCUGAAGACUGUGGUCUAACUAUUACACCGUACAAAUAAAUAUAUGUACUAGCUUUAUUGCAGGGAAUGGCUACUAAGGGAACCUGGACAAGUCUAUUAAUGUUACUGAGAAAACCACUGGAAAGAUCUUUUAGCCCAUAUCUGAUACAGACCAAAGUACUUUAAAAACUAUAAUUAAAAUUUAACCUCUUCUCUGGGAAAUUAAUCAUUGCUCUUAAUCAUUCUCUGAAAAAAAUAACCAGUGAAUUAAAUCCAUAGCUAGGCUCUAAGAAAAAGAAGAAAAUUUCCCCAAAUAUCAUUUUGUCAUCUUUUUGCUUAGACUCACGCAACUGUUUUGACAUUGAUUAACAGUGGAGACAAAGCUAACCACAGAUCUUCUGACACCCAUUCAUUUACUGAAGCAGUGGCUGGGUGAGACCAGCUCAUGAAUCAAGUUCUAAAAUCUGAAUGGUAGGAAGCAAAUGAUAUGGUGAGUAGGCAAUUUCUAGCAAUGCACUUUGGAAACUAAUAAAAACAAGAGGUGAAAGAUAAGGGGAGAUGAAUAGAAGUAAAUAAAUGCAAAAAAUAGGCCAGGUUCUUGAUUUUGAUAAUGUACAUACACUGUGGACUUUAAGAGGCCCAUUGAGGGGGAAAAAAAUCUUGAAAAGAAGAAACAUCUGUACAAUGAAAGAAGUCUAAAGCGAUUUGGUGAGUUACAAGAAUAAACAGAAGAAUCGAUGCAAUUUCCGCCCCAAGACCUAUCUCUGGGGGGUAUGUAUCUUUUAAAAAGACUUGUUCUUCAGCUCCUUUUUUUGAUCCAAGAUCCAAGAUGGUACCCACUAAAGGGCUUCGCACUGGACUCUUGGCUCUACCAUGGACUGCUCCAGAGUUUGGGUACCUAAUUUCCCUGAGCGUCUUUGACUUGCAAGGAUUAAGUGGGAGAUUAUAGACAUAUAUAUAUAUAGGUAUAUAUAUCUAUAAUAACCUUCAGUAUAUUACUU
rnacentral:lncRNA from 1 species